GGAUCAUUACUGAGUACUACACUCUCUACCCUUUGUGAACUAUUAUACCUGUUGCUUCGGCGGCGCCCGCGAGGGUGCCCGCCGGUCUCAUCAGAAUCUCUGUUUUCGAACCCGACGAUACUUCUGAGUGUUCUUAGCGAACUGUCAAAACUUUUAACAACGGAUCUCUUGGCUCCAGCAUCGAUGAAGAACGCAGCGAAACGCGAUAUGUAAUGUGAAUUGCAGAAUUCAGUGAAUCAUCGAAUCUUUGAACGCACAUGGCGCCUUCCAGUAUCCUGGGAGGCAUGCCUGUCCGAGCGUCGUUUCAACCCUCGAGCCCCUGUGGCCCGGCGUUGGGGAUCUGCCACGGCAGGCCCCUAAAACCAGUGGCGGACCCGAAGGCCCUCUCCUUUGCGCAGUAGCAUCAGCCUCGCAUUGGGAUCCCUCGGCGUCCUGCCUCUAAACCCCCCACAAGUCCGCUCCGGCGGCACCAAGGUUGACCUCGGAUCAGGUAGGAAUA
rnacentral:misc_RNA from 1 species